GAUGAACGCUGGCGGCGUGCCUAAUACAUGCAAGUCGAGCGAACAGACGAUGAGCUUGCUCCUCUGACGUUAGCGGCGGACGGGUGUGUAACACGUGGAUAACCUACCUAUAAUACUGGGAUAACUUCGGGAAACCGGAGCUAAUACCGGAUAAUAUAUUGAACCGCAUGGUUCAAUAGUGCAUGUCGGUUUUUCUGUCUCUUAUAGAUGGAUCCGCGCCGCAUUAGCUAGUUGGUAAGGUAACGGCUUACCAAGGCAACGAUGCGUAGCCGACGUGAGAGGGUGAUCGGCCAAACUGGAACUGAGAAACGGACCAGAGUACUACGGGAGGCAGCAGUAGGGAAUAUGCCGCAAUGGGCGAAAGCAUGACGGAGCAACGCCGCGUGAGUGAUGAAGGUCAUCGGAUCGUAAAACUCUGUUAUUAGGGAAGAAAAAAAGUGGAAGUAAAUAUGCACGGAUUGACGGUAACUAAUCAGAAAGCAACGGCUAACUACGUG
rnacentral:rRNA from 1 species